AGAUUUCCUUUUGUGCUCAUUUUGCGGGCCUCUGGUUCUCCUCUCCCGUGGCCACUUUCCUCCUUGGUCCCCCUGGCCUGCCUCCUUCCUCUUCUGCCCCUCUGUCCUGGCUGUGCCCUGGGAGAGAAGAGGCAGCCGCGGAGGUGUGACCAACGCAUCCCACGAGGGUUGAGUUAUGGAAGAAGGCUGGGACUGCAGGGCUGGCCUCCGGCCUGCGCCCUGUUUGUUUUCCCUUAGCCCCCUGAAUGCUAGAUUAAGAUGUAAAGAUUACCCCGGCCGAAUAAAGCCGGGAGUCAACACUCAAGCAAACAAAAGUGCUUGCACAACUCGCCAACCCCGCUGGGACCCGGGCCGCGGGCUGGGGGAGAGAACGCGCUCCUCGCUGCUAAUUACAAAUAAAUGAUGAUGUGCUCACUAAGUAAUUGAUUUAAUGACGUUCCUAUGAAACUAUUAAACCCGGAUGGAGGUCAGGCUGGAGGCGCCCCAGAGCGCCCAUUGUGGGCUGUUUAACUCCACCAGGCUCCUCCGAAAGACAUCGGGGCUAAUAGGUGAAGUCACAGCUGCUCCGGCUGACUUUCUCCGAGCGCCCGGCCGGCCGCGGGCACCCGCGCGCCCUCCUCCUGCCGCGCCCUUGUGUCCCACCGCCCGCGCCCCGCGCCGGCCAGCUUACCGACGCCUCUCCCAGCCCUGCCGCCAGCUCCCGAGGGCCUCUCCAGAGGGAUCCCGGGUCUCUUUAAGAGCGGGGAAGUUGAGCACAGAACUUGUGCGCUCCGCCAGCAGUCGGCUGGCUGCCUGCACUGCCGCCCACCCCUUCUUCACCCCACCCCCGCCACUUCUUGCAGGAACUUCAGCCAGUGUGCCAUGCAGGGUGCCCGCGCGCUCUUGGCAAGGAGCCUGGAACCCAAGUGCGUGCCCAGUGCACUGACGGGGGCGGGGCUGGCGGGUGUGUGUAGUUGUGCUUGGGUGUGUUUCAGGUCAAAAGGCCACCUUUCUUAGUCCCUUACCCAGCCCUGGGACCUGUUUGUACAAAAAGGUUGUAGAAGUAGGGAUAACGAAGUAAGGAAAUAAGUAAAAGCGCCCCUCCCCAUCAGCUCACUUGGGCGGGAGUUUAGGCCUACCUGCUUCCACCUUGGAUUUUUUAGAAGUACCUCUGCCAGUGACCUGGUCCAACUAGUCACACCGCUGCCCUGCAGCUACCACAGGGUUGAAGGACCUUAGGCCCACGUGUUAGGGCUUACAGGAGGUUUUCUUCUUGCCUGCCCUCCUUCCCUAGAACACAUAGUCUAUCUUGAGGUGAAGGGACACAGGCUCUUUCUGUUUUUUACAGCAAGGCUGUUAGUGCGAAAUAGGACCUUCCUUAUCGAACUGGCUAAACAGAGCCCCUGGGCUGAAUGGAGGGAGUACAUCCAAGAUGGAAAAGUCAAAUGUUGCAAAUAGAUCUACAGUUAGGGGUAUUAAACCCCUCUGACAGAUAGCAAGAGCCCAGAGAGAAGGAGGGACUGCAUCAUCUCUCCACCUGCCAGGGGCCUUCUGUUGAAAGAGAAGGCCCAAACCCAGCUGGAACUCCAUGCCCUGAGAUAGGAGGAGGGGGGCUUCAGGCUGCCAAAGUCAAUUUGCCAGGAUACCCUGGCCUCUCCAGACAGCCAACUCUUGUCUCUCCUCUUUGAGAAGCUAUAGUCAACUGGUUCUUGAAGCAUGGGUUAAUUUAGACCAUAGUCAGUUGGCGGUAGACUUCCUUUUCCUUUUUCUUCUCUCCUUUUUAGAAAUUUCCAAACACUGGAAUAAAUUUGUAUCUGGGCUUGGGUGUGGGGCCACCUUAAGCAGAGGGUGGCUUUUGUUCUCAGGUGUCAUGCAUCAGGGAAUACUUCUGGUGGAAAUAAUUUCAGAGCCUUUCUUGAGGCCUCAGUUUCCCCUUCUGUAAAAGUGGAUCCUAAGAGCUUGGUUGGGGGUGGGUGGGUAUGGGGGCCUUUUGGUAUAGCAUCGGAAAUGUAAAUGAGCUAGAUACCUAAUAAAAAAUGGAAAAAAAAAGAAAUC
rnacentral:lncRNA from 1 species